rnacentral:rRNA from 1 species
UACGGAGGGAGCUAGCGUUGUUCGGAAUUACUGGGCGUAAAACGCGCGUAGGCGGCUGCUCAAGUCAGAGGUGAAAGCCCGGGGCUCAACCCCGGAACUGCCUUUGAAACUAGGUAGCUAGAAUCUUGGAGAGGUCAGUGGAAUUCCGAGUGUAGAGGUGAAAUUCGUAGAUAUUCGGAAGAACACCAGUGGCGAAGGCGACUCGCUGGACAAGUAUUGACGCUGAGGUGCGAAAGCGUGGGGAGCAAACAGG